AUUGAACGCUGGCGGCAGGCCUAACACAUGCAAGUCGAACGGUAACAGGAAGAAGCUUGCUUCUUUGCUGACGAGUGGCGGACGUGUGAGUAAUGUCUGGGAAACUGCCUGAUGGAGGGGGAUAACUACUGGAAACGGUAGCUAAUACCGCAUAACGUCGCAAGACCAAAGAGGGGGACCUUCGGGCCUCUUGCCAUCGGAUGUGCCCAGAUGGGAUUAGCUAGUAGGUGGGGUAACGGCUCACCUAGGCGACGAUCCCUAGCUGGUCUGAGAGGUUGACCAGCCACACUGGAACUGAGACACGGUCCAGACUCCUACGGGAGGCAGCAGUGGGGAAUAUUGCACAAUGGGCGCAAGCCUGAUGCAGCCAUGCCGCGUGUAUGAAGAAGGCCUUCGGGUUGUAAAGUACUUUCAGCGGGGAGGAAGGGAGUAAAGUUAAUACCUUUGCUCAUUGACGUUACCCGCAGAAGAAGCACCGGCUAACUCCGUG
rnacentral:rRNA from 1 species